AUUGAACGCUGGCGGCAGGCCUAACACAUGCAAGUCGAGCGGAUGAAGGGAGCUUGCUCCUGGAUUCAGCGGCGGACGGGUGAGUAAUGCCUAGGAAUCUGCCUGGUAGUGGGGGAUAACGUCCGGAAACGGGCGCUAAUACCGCAUACGUCCUGAGGGAGAAAGUGGGGGAUCUUCGGACCUCACGCUCUCAGAUGAGCCUAGGUCGGAUUAGCUAGUUGGUGGGGUAAAGGCCUACCACGGCGACGAUCCGUAACUGGUCUGAGAGGAUGAUCAGUUACACUGGAACUUAAACACGUGCCAGACUCCUACGGGAGGCAGCAGUGGGGAAUAUUGGACAAUGGGCGAAAGCCUGAUCCAGCCAUGCCGCGUGUGUGAAGAAGGUCUUCGGAUUGUAAAGCACUUUAAGUUGGGAGGAAGGGCAGUAAGUUAAUACCUUGCUGUUUUGACGUUACCAACAGAAUAAGCACCGGCUAACUUCGUG
rnacentral:rRNA from 1 species